rnacentral:rRNA from 1 species
GGGGAAUAUUGCGCAAUGGGGGGAACCCUGACGCAGCCAUGCCGCGUGAAUGAAGAAGGCCUUCGGGUUGUAAAGUUCUUUCGGUGGUGAGGAAGGUUGGUGUGUUAAUAGCACACUGAUUUGACGUUAGCCACAGAAGAAGCACCGGCUAACUCCGUGCCAGCAGCCGCGGUAAUACGGAGGGUGCGAGCGUUAAUCGGAAUAACUGGGCGUAAAGGGCACGCAGGCGGUGACUUAAGUGAGAUGUGAAAGCCCCGAGCUUAACUUGGGAAUAGCAUUUCAGACUGGGUUACUAGAGUACUUUAGGGAGGGGUAGAAUUCCACGUGUAGCGGUGAAAUGCGUAGAGAUGUGGAGGAAUACCGAAGGCGAAGGCAGCCCCUUGGGAAGAUACUGACGCUCAUGUGCGAAAGCGUGGGGAGCAAACAGGAUUAGAUACCCUGGUAGUCCACGCUGUAAACGCUGUCGAUUUGGGGAUUGGGCUUUAAGCUUGGUGCCCGUAGCUAACGUGAUAAAUCGACCGCCUGGGGAGUACGGCCGCAAGGUUAAAACUCAAAUGAAUUGACGGGGGCCCGCACAAGCGGUGGAGCAUGUGGUUUAAUUCGAUGCAACGCGAAGAACCUUACCUACUCUUGACAUCCUAAGAAUCCUGUAGAGAUACGGGAGUGC